GCAAUCCCAUUUUCUUGCCCGGAGAGCCUAUAAUUUCAAGAAAAUUCGAUCGUGCUGUACAAAAACUAAUGAGUGGAAAUACAUGAAUUGCUUGGAGGUUUAUACACAUCCACUUAAAGAAAAAAGAUAAACACCAGUUCCAAAUUCAAAUUAAAUGACUGUUGAAUGUCCAAUAAUUAACUAGUUUAUAAUUUCUGAGAAUAAACUAAAAAAACUUUUAAGUUUUAAGGAAUAAAA